rnacentral:rRNA from 1 species
AUUGAACGCUGGCGGCAGGCCUAACACAUGCAAGUCGAACGAGUGGCGGACGGGUGAGUAAUGUCUGGGAAACUGCCCGAUGGAGGGGGAUAACUACUGGAAACGGUAGCUAAUACCGCAUACCAUCGGAUGUGCCCAGAUGGGAUUAGCUAGUAGGUGGGGUAACGGAUCACCUAGGCGGCGAUCCCUAGCUGGUCUGCGAGGAUGACCGGCAACACUGGAACUGAGACACGGUCAAGACCCCUACGGGACGCAGGAGGGGGGAAUCUUGCACAAUGGUCGAAAGCCUGAUGCAGUGAUGCCGCGUGGAUGAGGAUGUUCUUCGGGUUGUAAAGUACUUUCAGCGAGGAGGCGUUACUCGCAGAAGAAGCACCGGCUAACUACGGGCCAGCAGCCGCGGUAAUAC